GACGAACGCUGGCGGCGUGCCUAAUACAUGCAAGUAGAACGCUGAAGAGAGGAGCUUGCUCUUCUUGGAUGAGUUGCGAACGGGUGAGUAACGCGUAGGUAACCUGCCUUGUAGCGGGGGAUAACUAUUGGAAACGAUAGCUAAUACCGCAUAACAAUGGAUGACACAUGUCAUUUAUUUGAAAGGGGCAAUUGCUCCACUACAAGAUGGACCUGCGUUGUAUUAGCUAGUAGGUGAGGUAAUGGCUCACCUAGGCGACGAUACAUAGCCGACCUGAGAGGGUGAUCGGCCACACUGGGACUGAGACACGGCCCAGACUCCUACGGGAGGCAGCAGUAGGGAAUCUUCGGCAAUGGGGGCAACCCUGAACGAGCAACGCCGCGUGAGUGAAGAAGGUUUUCGGAUCGUAAAGCUCUGUUGUAAGUCAAGAACGGGUGUGAGAGUGGAAAGUUCACACUGUGACGGUAGCUUAACAGAAAGGGACGGCUAACUACGUG
rnacentral:rRNA from 1 species